rnacentral:rRNA from 1 species
AUUGAACGCUGGCGGCAUGCUUUACACAUGCCAGUCGAACGGCAGCGCGGGCUUCGGCCUGGCGGCGAGUAGAGAACGGGUGAGUAAUACAUCGGAACGUGCCCAGUAGUGGGGGAUAGCUCGGCGAAAGCCGGAUUAAUACCGCAUACGACCUGAGGGUGAAAGCGGGGGAUCUUCGGACCUCGCGCUAUUGGAGCGGCCGAUGGCAGAUUAGCUAGUUGGUGGGGUAAAGGCCUACCAAGGCGACGAUCUGUAGCUGGUCUGAGAGGACGACCAGCCACACGGGGACUGAGACACGGCCCAGACUCCUACGGGAGGCAGCAGUGGGGAAUUUUGGACAAUGGGCGAAAGCCUGAUCCAGCAAUGCCGCGUGUGUGAUGAAGGCCUUCGGGUUGUAAAGCACUUUUGGCGGGAACGAAAAGGACUGUGCCAAUACCACGGUUCGAUGACGGUACCCGCAGAAUAAGCACCGGCUAACUACGUG